rnacentral:rRNA from 1 species
CUUGGUCAUUUAGAGGAAGUAAAAGUCGUAACAAGGUCUCCGUUGGUGAACCAGCGGAGGGAUCAUUACCGAGUUUACAACUCCCAAACCCCUGUGAACAUACCAAUUGUUGCCUCGGCGGAUCAGCCCGCUCCCGGUAAAACGGAACGGCCCGCCAGAGGACCCCUAAACUCUGUUUCUAUAUGUAACUUCUGAGUAAAACCAUAAAUAAAUCAAAACUUUCAACAACGGAUCUCUUGGUUCUGGCAUCGAUGAAGAACGCAGCAAAAUGCGAUAAGUAAUGUGAAUUGCAGAAUUCAGUGAAUCAUCGAAUCUUUGAACGCACAUUGCGCCCGCCAGUAUUCUGGCGGGCAUGCCUGUUCGAGCGUCGUUUCAACCCUCAAGCCCCCGGGUUUGGUGUUGGGGAUCGGCGAGCCUCACGGCAAGCCGGCCCCGAAAUACAGUGGCGGUCUCGCUGCAGCUUCCAUUGCGUAGUAGUAAAACCCUCGCAACUGGUACGCGGCGCGGCCAAGCCGUUAAACCCCCAACUUCUGAAUGUUGACCUCGGAUCAGGUAGGAAUACCCGCUGAACUUAAGCAUAUCAAUAAGCGGAGGA